UCCUGACACACAGCCAACACUGUAUAUGUUAGCUAUUAUUUUUAAAUCAUUAUUAUUAUUACUAGAUCGACAUACAUGUUACGAGGCUGUUAUUCUGGGAGGCAGGUGCUUUUUAUAUAAGAUGCAAAGACAAUUGUGUGGACAUGGGACAAAGGAUAAAAGUUACGCUAUGUUAAGUUGUAAGAGCUGUCCAUAGAGAAAUCUGCAUGGGAUUCAGAAGAGGGAAAUGAAGGAGAAGCCCUUUCUUCAGCUCUCUGAAGGACUCUUCUGCAGCCCUCCAAAGCUGUCGUUCAUCUAUCCGUUCAAGCUGUGGGCCUGGGGUGGUGUCUCCACCAGCCCCAAUGGUCAGCCCCUUCUGGCCUUCGCGUCCUGGGCCGGGCAGGCGUGUAAGGCCAUGGUGAAAAGAGUUCAGCUGCUCCUGUGGCUCACGUAUAUCAUGGGGAUCAGAGGCAAAGAGAAGAGACAAAGUUCUCGUGUACCUUGGAGGUUCUAGACUGUCUUUGGUCUCCCCAAUUCCUGCCUAUCUUCCCAACCACCAGUUCUGCUGACGUCAGGCCUCGUGCCAGAACCAGAAUCAAGGGCCCUUGAGAAUCCUUACUCAGCGCCCACAAUUGCUUAAGGUUUAAUCACAUAAUAAAUCCCUUUUCUGUCCCACUC